rnacentral:rRNA from 1 species
UAAUAGCAUGCAAGUCGAACGGCAGCGCGGGAGCAAUCCUGGCGGCGAGUGGCGAACGGGUGAGUAAUACAUCGGAACGUGCCCAAUCGUGGGGGAUAACGCAGCGAAAGCUGUGCUAAUACCGCAUACGAUCUACGGAUGAAAGCAGGGGAUCGCAAGACCUUGCGCGAAUGGAGCGGCCGAUGGCAGAUUAGGUAGUUGGUGAGGUAAAGGCUCACCAAGCCUUCGAUCUGUAGCUGGUCUGAGAGGACGACCAGCCACACUGGGACUGAGACACGGCCCAGACUCCUACGGGAGGCAGCAGUGGGGAAUUUUGGACAAUGGGCGCAAGCCUGAUCCAGCCAUGCCGCGUGCAGGAUGAAGGCCUUCGGGUUGUAAACUGCUUUUGUACGGAACGAAACGGCCUUUUCUAAUAAAGAGGGCUAAUGACGGUACCGUAAGAAUAAGCACCGGCUAACUACGUGCCAGCAGCCGCGGUAAUACGUAGGGUGCAAGCGUUAAUCGGAAUUACUGGGCGUAAAGCGUGCGCAGGCGGUUAUGUAAAACAGUUGUGAAAUCCCCGGGCUCAACCUGGGAACUGCAUCUGUGACUGCAUAGCUAGAGUACGGUAGAGGGGGAUGGAAUUCCGCGUGUAGCACUGAAAUGCGUAUAUAUGCGGAGGAACACCGAUGGCGAAGGCAAUCCCCUGGACCUGUACUGACGCUCAUGCACGAAAGCGUGCGGAGCAAACAGGAUUACAUA